rnacentral:rRNA from 1 species
AGCGAACGCUGGCGGCAGGCCUAACACAUGCAAGUCGAACGAACUCUUCGGAGUUAGUGGCGGACGGGUGAGUAACACGUGGGAACGUGCCUUUAGGUUCGGAAUAACUCAGGGAAACUUGUGCUAAUACCGAAUGUGCCCUUCGGGGGAAAGAUUUAUCGCCUUUAGAGCGGCCCGCGUCUGAUUAGCUAGUUGGUGAGGUAAUGGCUCACCAAGGCUACGAUCAGUAGCUGGUCUGAGAGGAUGACCAGCCACAUUGGGACUGAGACACGGCCCAAACUCCUACGGGAGGCAGCAGUGGGGAAUCUUGCGCAAUGGGCGAAAGCCUGACGCAGCCAUGCCGCGUGGAUGAUGAAGGUCUUAGGAUUGUAAAAUCCUUUCACCGGUGAAGAUAAUGACUGUAGCCGGAGAAGAAGCCCCGGCUAACUUCGUGCCAGCCGCCGCCGUAAAAC